CCUGCAUUCGAUACGGUCAAGCUAGAGUUUGGUAGGGGAGACUGGAAUUCCUGGUGUAGCGGUGGAAUGCGCAGAUAUCAGGAGGAACACCGAUGGCGAAGGCAGGUCUCUGGGCCAAUACUGACACUGAGGAGCGAAAGCGUGGGGAGCGAACAGGAUUAGAUACCCUGGUAGUCCACGCCGUAAACGGUGGGCGCUAGUUGUGCGAACCUUCCACGGUUUGUGCGACGCAGCUAACGCAUUAAGCGCCCCGCCUGGGGAGUACGAUCGCAAGAUUAAAACUCAAAGGAAUUGACGGGGCCCCGCACAAGCAGCGGAGCAUGCGGCUUAAUUCGACGCAACGCGAAGAACCUUACCAAGGCUUGACAUAUACAGGAAUACGGCAGAGAUGUCGUAGCGGUUAAACGUCUGUAUACAGGUGGUGCAUGGUUGUCGUCAGCUCGUGUCGUGAGAUGUUGGGUUAAGUCCCGCAACGAGCGCAACCCUCGUUCUGUGUUGCCAGCAUUUAGUUGGGGACUCACAGGA
rnacentral:rRNA from 1 species